CCUACGGGGGGCAGCAGUGAGGAAUAUUGGUCAAUGGGCGAGAGCCUGAACCAGCCAAGUCGCGUGAGGGAGUACUGCCCUAUGGGUUGUAAACCUCUUUUGUCGGGGAGCAAAAGCCGGACGUGUCCGGCUGUGAGAGUACCCGAAGAAAAAGCAUCGGCUAACUCCGUGCCAGCAGCCGCGGUAAUACGGGGGAUGCGAGCGUUAUCCGGAUUUAUUGGGUUUAAAGGGUGCGCAGGCGGAUUUUUAAGUCAGCGGUAAAAUCGUGGGGCUCAACCCCAUCCAGCCGUUGAAACUGGGGAUCUAGAGUGUGCGAGAGGUAUGCGGAAUGCGUGGUGUAGCGGUGAAAUGCAUAGAUAUCACGCAGAACCCCGAUUGCGAAGGCAGCAUACCGGUGCACAACUGACGCUCAGGCACGAAAGCGUGGGUAUCGAACAGGAUUAGAUACCCGUGUAGUC
rnacentral:rRNA from 1 species